GACGAACGCUGGCGGCGUGCCUAAUACAUGCAAGUCGAACGCUUUUUCUUUCACCGGAGCUUGCUCCACCGAAAGAAAAAGAGUGGCGAACGGGUGAGUAACACGUGGGUAACCUGCCCAUCAGAAGGGGAUAACACUUAGAAACAGGUGCUAAUACCGUAUAACACUAUUUUCCGCAUGGAAGAAAGUUGAAAGGCGCUUUUGCGUCACUGAUGGAUGGACCCGCGGUGCAUUAGCUAGUUGGUGAGGUAACGGCUCACCAAGGCAACGAUGCAUAGCCGACCUGAGAGGGUGAUCGGCCACAUUGGGACUGAGACACGGCCCAGACUCCUACGGGAGGCAGCAGUAGGGAAUCUUCGGCAAUGGACGAAAGUCUGACCGAGCAACGCCGCGUGAGUGAAGAAGGUUUUCGGAUCGUAAAACUCUGUUGUUAGAGAAGAACAAGGAUGAGAGUAAAACGUUCAUCCCUUGACGGUAUCUAACCAGAAAGCCACGGCUAACUCUGUGCCAGCAGCCGCGGUAA
rnacentral:rRNA from 1 species